rnacentral:misc_RNA from 1 species
GGGGACUACCGGGGUUUCUAAUCCCGUUUGCUACCUUGGCUUUCGUGCCUCAGCGUCAGAAAAGACCCAGUAAGCCGCCUUCGCCACCGGUGUUCCUCAAGAUAUCAACGCAUUUCACCGCUCCACCUUGAGUUCCGCUUACCUCUGUCUCCCUCUAGCACGGUAGUUUUGAGUGCAAUUCCUCAGUUGAGCUGAGGGCUUUCACCACACGCUUAGCAGGCCGCCUACGCGCCCUUUACGCCCAGUGAUUCCGGACAACGCUCGCACCCUCCGUAUUACCGCGGCGGCUGGCAC